rnacentral:tRNA from 1 species
GGGGCUACCCGGUUGGUCGGGGCGGUGCCAGAUUUGACACCUCACCGCGGGGGUUCGACUCCCCCUAGCUCCA